CAGCCUCUAGUGGUAGAGUAAUGUAGGUAAGGGAAGUCGGCAAACUGGAUCUGUAACUUCGGGAGAAAGAUUGGCUCUGAGGGCCAGGCACACCCACCGCUCGCAGGCUAGCCGGCUGAGCUCUUGGUACGCUGGGAGAGCGGCUGGCGUGCCUAACAGUGGCUCGGGGGUGCGGACAAUGGCUGACUCAGAACUGGUACGGCAGGGGGAAUCCGACUGUUUAAUCGAAACAAAGCAUUGUGAG
rnacentral:rRNA from 1 species